UUUUUCUCUUCUUUACUCACCUAGAACUCACACAAAACGCAGCCUUGGUUCUCCCUCUCCAUCAAUCUCCAUUUUCUCUUCUUCUCUUGCACUCUCCUCAUGGCUUGAACUUGGCUUGGGAAGCUUCAACCGUUGAGGGCUUUUCCUACCAACUAAAACCAUUUGGCUUUUGCUUUGCUUCAAAUCAAGUCCUUCAUCAUUUUUGAGCUUUGGGUAACGAUUUUUGGGUGUUAGGACCUCCAAUCUACCGAUUUUUUUGAGCUUAAAGAUCCAUUGGAGCCUUUGAAGAAAAAGCCUCUUCAGACUUCAGAGACCAGAAAUGUACUGUGAAAAUGGCUAACGCAGCCAACCUUCUUCGUCCAAUUACAUCAAAGGCAAUGUCGUGACCACCAAAAUUUUGCGCUGAGGGCUGAGAUCUACAUGCGGUGGUGCGGAGUUAUAAAUCUGCUACCGCCAAAAAGACCAUUACUACCGAUGUCGCCACCGCUCCAGAAGACCCUUUGGCUUGUCUAGCAUCUCUAACUUCUGAAGAGAAAAGUGACCCAUUUUCUUUUCCCCAUCUUGUAGAGCUACCCAGAACCACUACUUUCCAGGUUUCUUCCACUGGCUUUGUGGGAAUCCAAGACCAACGACGGUGACAACAAUAACAACAAAAUCUACCAUAUCUACAACGACAAGUACUCCAUCGACAAGAGUUUCAAAGGCCUCAAGCCAAUCCUUCCAUGUCCUUACCAACCAUGCAAUCUCAGGCCCCCAGAUCAAGAAAAAGAAAAAUUAAAGAAGAAAAAGAAAAAAGAAGACAAAACAGAAGAAAGGAAGACAAGAAAGAAGAAAGGAAGAAAGAAUCGUACCUGUGUAGGGGAGAAGAGAGAUGAUCUUCUAUGAGGAGAAAAUGGGGGAAAAAUGAAAAUAAAUAGAGGGUGAGUGGGAGUGGAAAAAAAAAUGAGGAAAAAAGGAGGGAAAACAAAAAAUUAGUGGCGUGUCUAUUUGACACUAAUUUGUGACGUGGCAUAUUUAGCACGACACUAAAUUAUUUUGUGACGUUUCAUAAAAUGAAACCUCACUAAUUAGUGGCGUGUCAUAAAAUGAGUUACUGUAGCCACGCCACUAAAUUGCUAAUUUUUUGUAGUGAUUGCGCAACCUUGAGUAAGGAUAAUCCCACAAAGCCGCGGAUCUUGCAAGAAGGUGAGUAUUCUACUCACUGAGGGACCCUAAGAACGUAGAUUUACAUUUUUGGUACUUGGUUAUUUAUGAUUAUGGAAUUUGUUGAUAAAAUUGUUUGUGAUUGAGUUGUGUUAUAUUGGAUUGUAAAUUGUAUGGAUAAAUCGAUGUUGAUGGAUCUUGGUUUUAUGUGAUUAUGGAAUUGUUGAUAAAUAUUAUUUGUGAUUGAGUUGUGAUAUAUUGGAUUGUGAAUUAUAUGGAUAAAUAGAUGUUGAUGAAUCUUGGUUGUAUAUGAUUAUGGAAUUGUUGAUAAA